GCUUAUAUCUAAUACAUUACCUACUAUAUGAUUGUUUUUGACAAAAUUAACCUUUUUUUUUUUUAAUUUUAAAGACAAAUUUUUGCAGUUUAGCACUUAUUGUGUCUGUUGUUCACUUAUUGAAAGACAAGUUGGAGUAUUUUAAUUUUUUAGUUUUGCUAUUUAAGCUGCUUCAGUUUUGGUAUUUUUUUUUACCCUAAAUGCGUGCAAGUGCUAUAAUGUGUCAUAUUAUAAUUGUUUCACGAUGAAUGGAAGACUAGAAAUUAUUGUAUUGUUAGGUGUUUGUUGUUAAAAAAUUUUUUUUUAUCAUUUUAUUUUUAAAGUUUGUAUGCAGCUGUCAUAUUUUGUAUCUGAAAUGUUUCUGUUCAAGAAGUAUUUCAAUACUUCUUUCACCAUAUAAGAAUAUUAUCAUUAAAUUUAAUCAUUUU
rnacentral:sRNA from 1 species